ensembl:snRNA U6 U6 spliceosomal RNA
GUGCUCUCUUCAGCAGCACGUGCACGAAAUUGGAAUGAUACAGAGAGGAGCAUGCCGCUGCUCAAAGAUGACAUGGAAAUUCAUGAAGCAUUCCAUGUUUGU